GGCAGAUUCAUGGGCAAAUAAAGAAAUUUGGGUAUGCAGCUUAUGUUUUCGUGGGUAGUCCUUUGGUGGAUAUGUAUGCAAAGAUGGGUUUAAUUUAUGAGGCAAAGCAAGUUUUUGAUGAGAUGCCAGAGAAGAAUGUGGUACUGCAUAACACAAUGAUCACGGGGCUUUUGCGAUGUGGGAUGGUAGAGGAUUCAAAGAGGCUGUUUCAGGGUAUGAAGGAAACAGAUUCCAUUUCAUGGACAACAAUGAUUACAGGGCUUGUACAAAAUGGAUUGGAGAGAGAAGCUAUUGAUUUGUUUGGACAGAUGAAGCUAGAAGGGCUGUCUAUGGAUCAGUAUACAUUUGGCAGUGUGUUGACUGCUUGUGGGGGUCU
rnacentral:misc_RNA from 1 species